CAAUAGCGUAUAUUUAAGUUGUUGCAGUUAAAAAGCUCGUAGUUGGAUUUCUGGAGGGAGCGUCGGCCCGUAUUUACGAGUGCGUGACGUCUCUGUCCAUCCUUGCGGGAAGGCACGGCAUUGAUUUGUUGUGUCGGAUCGCAUCAUUUACUGUGAAAAAAUUAGAGUGUUCAAAGCAGGCUUUCGCUUGAAUACAUUAGCAUGGAAUAAUAAGAUAGGACUUUGGUGCUAUUUUGUUGGUUGAGCCUAAAGUAAUGAUUAAUAGGGAUAGUUGGGGGCACCUGUAUUGCGUUGUCAGAGGUGAAAUUCUUGGAUUUACGCAAGACAAACAGCUGCGAAANCGNNNGCCAAGGAUGUUUUCAUNAA
rnacentral:rRNA from 1 species